rnacentral:rRNA from 1 species
UACGUAGGGGGCAAGCGUUACUCGGAUUCACUGGGCGUAAAGCGCGUGUAGGCGGCUGGUCAAGCGUGGUGUGAAAUCUCCGGGCUCAACCCGGAAACUGCACCGCGAACUGGCCUGGCUGGAGUGCAGGAGAGGGAAGGGGAAUUCCCGGUGUAGCGGUGAAAUGCGAAGAUAUCGGGAGGAACACCAGUGGCGAAGGCGCCUUCCUGGCCUGUAACUGACGCUGAUACGCGAAAGCGUGGGGAGCGAACAGG